UAACAUAAACAUUAAUAAGACUCUAUCUUCAUGUCUUCCUCAGCUCCUGGAGACAUCAAGAAAAGCCAGUCCUUCUCCCUCACUGUUAAUCUGUAGCCUUCCUUAACCCUUUCCUCGAACAUGCACCGUAUCUCUGAUAACUUCCGGCAACAAACGAAGAGGGAGUGUUCGGAAUUCGUAAAGAGACAGCCCGUCGCUAAUCGAUAUCGAAAUAGUUCUUGAUGUGAGUUGGUAAAGGUUUCCUUCAAAAUUUGUUUUACGUUAUUGAGAA
rnacentral:lncRNA from 1 species